rnacentral:rRNA from 1 species
UACAGAGGUCUCAAGCGUUGUUCGGAUUCAUUGGGCGUAAAGGGUGCGUAGGCGGCGCGGUAAGUCGGGUGUGAAAUCUCGGAGCUUAACUCCGAAACUGCAUUCGAUACUGCCGUGAUUGAGGACUGGAGAGGAGACUGGAAUUUACGGUGUAGCGGUGAAAUGCGUAGAUAUCGUAAGGAAGACCAGUGGCGAAGGCGGGUCUCUGGACAGUUCCUGACACUGAGACACGAAGGCCAGGGGAGCAAACGGG